rnacentral:rRNA from 1 species
UAAACGCUGGCGGCGUGCAUGAGACAUGCAAGUCGAACGGACCGGUGGGCUUGCUCACCUGUUAGUGGCGGACGGCUGAGUAACGCGUAGGUGACCUACCCCGAAGUGGGGAAUAACUGCCCGAAAGGGUGGCUAAUACCGCAUGUGGUGCCAGGUUCGUUGCUGGUUCCAAAGCCGCAAGGCGCUUCGGGAGGGGCCUGCGUCCGAUUAGCUCGUUGGUGGGGUAACGGCUCACCAAGGCGACGAUCGGUAGGUGGUCUGAGAGGACGAUCACCCAGACUGGGACUGAGACACGGCCCAGACUCCUACGGGAGGCAGCAGUCGGGAAUUUUGCUCAAUGGGCGCAAGCCUGAAGCAGCAACGCCGCGUGAGGGAUGACGGCCUUCGGGUUGUAAACCUCUUUUACCAGGGAAGACCAUGACGGUACCUGGAGAAUAAGUCACGGCUAACUACGUGCCAGCAGCCCGCGGUAAUACGUAGGUGACGAGCGUUGUCCGGAUUUACUGGGGCGUAAAGAGCGCGCAGGCCGGUCGUAUAAGUCGAGUGUGAAAGCCCCCCGGCUCAACUGGGGGAGGGGUCGCUCGAUACUGUUCGACUCGAAGGCGGGAGAGGGAAGCGGAAUUCCCGGUGUAGUGGUGAAAUGCGUACAUAUCCGGGAGGAACACCAGUGGGCGAAGGCGGCUUUUCUGGGCCCCUUUCUUGGA